rnacentral:rRNA from 1 species
UACGGAGGGUGCGAGCGUUGUCCGGAAUCACUGGGCGUAAAGGGCGCGUAGGCGGCGCGGAUAGUCGGCGGUGAAAGCCCGGAGCUCAACUCCGGGUCGGCCGUCGAUACUUCCGGGCUUGAGCACUGUAGAGGCAGAUGGAAUUCCGGGUGUAGCGGUGGAAUGCGUAGAGAUGUGGAGGAAUACCGAUGGCGAAGGCAGCCCCCUGGGAUGACACUGACGCUCAUGCACGAAAGCGUGGGGAGCAAACAGG